rnacentral:rRNA from 1 species
GAAGCAUGACCGUAAGGACAUGUGGACAGUAUGGGAGUGAGAAUGUUGGCAUGAGUAGCGAGAUGUGGGUGAGAAUCCCACAGGCCGUAACCCCAAGGUUUCCAGGGGAAGGUUCGUCCGCCCUGGGUUAGUCGGGACCUAAGCUGAGGCCGAAAGGCGUAGGUGAUGGACAACAGGUUGAUAUUCCUGUACUACCGAUAACCGUUUGAGAGAAGGGAUGACACAGUAGGAUA